AGGGAUCGCUGUGUGGGGUCAGCACCGCGCGCGGAGCGCCUGAAACCAUCGGCAGCGGGGCCGUGCGCUCUCAGCGCGAAAUGUGUGCCCGGCCCUGACUUAUAGCUUCUGUGCGUAUCCCUAAACCUGUCUCAAAGAUAUCUUGGAACAUCAGUACAUAAAACACAAGGAGCUACUGACAGAGUCUAGCGAAGGGCCACAAAAGUGAUGAGGGGUCUGGCACAUCUCUCUAAUGACGAGAGAGGGACUGGAGAGAGGGAGCUGGGCCUGUUUAGUCUAGAGAAGAAAAGACUGAUAAGAGAUCUCAUCAAUACAUAAAAAUGUUUCAAAGGUGUGUCAAGAGAAUAAUGCCAGGCUCUUUUCAGUUGUGCCCCAUGACAGGACAAAGAGCAAUGGCCAUAAACUAAAACACCAGAAGUUGCACCUCAACACGGGGAAGAACAUUUUGACAUUGAGGGUGGCCGAGCACUGGAACAGGCUGCCCGGGGAGCUUGUGGAGCCUCCCUCUCCAGAGGCAUGCAAAACCCACCUGGACAUGUUCCUGUGUCACCUGCUCCUGGUGACCCUGCCUUGGUAGGAAGGUUGGAAAUAGGAUCUUCCAGCUCUAACAAUUCUGUGACUCUAUGAUCUUUGUCUUAAUAACACCUGGCUAGUAAACCUCCAUCUUUUUCAGCAGAAAAAGGAAUAUUGUAAACAUUGGAGUAUAAUUAUUGCACAAGGAUAAUAGGACAUUACUACAGCUGCAUAGUAAUAGCAACAUCUAAGAAUGUGCAUCACUAUGUAUGGGAAAUAAAAGCACGGAAAGAUAAACUAAUUUCCCAAAGGUCACUCAGCAGGCCAGCAGCACAGCCAGGAAUAGAACCCUAUUACAUACAAUUCCCUGUCAUGUAUUUUCUUCUGGUUUAAAAUGGGACUUGGCUUUAAACAGGACAUCAUUUCUGUGUACUCUGGUAGAAAGUAAAGUUCUUUGGCAAUGGCAAACCUAGGAGAAAGACACCAUGACUCCAACACUUACUUAGAUAUAAAAGCACCUUCACUGGGCCAUACCCUCAAGACAAAAGUAAUUGGAAGAUGCUGUCUUUUGUUACAGUGCAUGCUGAUUUACUUCUCUUUCUUUGUUUCUGCCUUCAUCCCUUUUUUUUUUAUUUUAAUUUUUUUUCUCUCUUUUACACUUCUCACAGAAUAUUGUCCCUUAAAGGACUGGUAUACAUGGAAGAAACAUGGGCCAAAAGUUUAAUGGUUUAUCUUCAGUAAGAGAGCAACCUGGAAACAAAACUUUCCAGCUUUCCAGAGACAUGAAGUCCCAGAGGUCUGGAACUCAGCAUUAGUCCCUCCAUAGUAUCUCCACAGGUAACGGGGAGAACAGCCUUCAUGUUGAGCCAAUACAGACUGAGCGACUCCCCCUUUUGCUGUCUACAAGCUGCUGAGGCAAGCAAGGGCCGUGGCAGUUAUUAAUAACCCUAUCUCCAGACAUGCUGGAGAAGUGUGUAGUCACGCUUCUGAGCUGUCCUUAAGCAAUUCCCAUCUUCCUUUAGAAAGCUGUAAUCUGUCAGAACAUGCUGCUAAGAAUACACUUGCAGAACAUUAUGCGUCAGGGAGGGGGUAGACCUCAUCUACUAUCUCCUAAAAAUCUUUUUAUAGAAACCACCUAAAAAUAGCCUGGAAGCCUAACAGGGUAUGUGGUUCAGUUUUUAAAAAGUAAAAAUAAAGUUCUGUGCCUUCUAUUGCA
ensembl:lncRNA